UACGCAGGGUGCAAGCGAUAAUCGGAAUUACUGGGCGUAAAGCGUGCGCAGGCGGUUCGGAAAGAAAGGUGUGAAAUCCCGGAGCUUAACUUUGGAACUGCAUUUUUAACUACCGGGCUAGAGUGUGCCAGAGGGAGGUGGAAUUCCGCGUGUAGCAGUGAAAUGCGUAGAUAUGCGGAGGAACACCGAUGGCGAAGGCAGCCUCCUGGGAUAACACUGACGCUCAUGCACGAAAGCGUGGGGAGCAAACAGG
rnacentral:rRNA from 1 species